rnacentral:rRNA from 1 species
AUGAUAGACAUUCACUACCAUGACAUGAAGAAAAAAAUUAACCGCAAGGAGGACCAUACUCUGUGGGGAUUUUGCCCACUGCCAGAAAAGCUUAUCAAGUAUGCAGCAAUAGAUGCAUUUGCAACAUAUGAGUCAUGGAGAAUCAUCUACGAUGUCAUAAUGGGACUGGACAGGGCAAAAAGAGACAAACAAGCAAAGCAGAAGAAGAACAAGGCUCGCCGCGACACGCCGUGUCGCCGCCUGCUCCGGCUCGUUCCAGCCUCGGCCUCGCAGGGGGGUGGGGAGGGGGGUCACGACCCCCCCCCCCACCCCCUGCUCGGCCUCGCGCUAACGCACGCAGCGCAGUGCGGACAUUCUAUUUUUCCAACAAUAGGACGCAUGCAACCCUGGUGCCACACCCCUAAGAUAGACAGGGAGGCGACGGGGUGUGACGGACUCGCCUGCGCAUGCGGCGCCGCGGCACGCCGCGUCGCCGCCUGCUCCGGCUUGUUCCAGGCACGGCCUCGCAGGGGGUUGGGGAGGGGCGUCACGACCCACCUCCCACCCCCCUACUCGGCCUCACACUAA